GAAACAGCAGUCAUCAGAAUCAUCUGCGAAGAAAGAGGACCCCGCACACCCACCAAGUUUGUAAAACGAGCUGGAGGGAGGGGAUGGAAAUA
rnacentral:ribozyme from 1 species